rnacentral:rRNA from 1 species
AUGAACGCUGGCGGCGUGCCUAAUACAUGCAAGUUGAGCGAACGGACGAGAAGCUUGCUUCUCUGAUGUUAGCGGCGGACGGGUGAGUAACACGUUGAUAACCUACCUAUAAGACUGGGAUAACUUCGGGAAACCGGAGCUAAUACCGGAUAAUAUUUUGAACCGCAUGGUUCAAAAGUGAAAGACGGUCUUGCUGUCACUUAUAGAUGGAUCCGCGCUGCAUUAGCUAGUUGGUAAGGUAACGGCUUACCAAGGCAACGAUGCAUAGCUGACCUGAGAGGGUGAUCGGCCACACUGGAACUGAGACACGGUCCAGACUCCUACGGGAGGCAGAAGUAGGGAAUCUUCCACAAUGGGCGAAAGCCUGACGGAGCAACGCCGCGUGAGUGAUGAAGGUCUUCGGAUCGUAAAACUCUGUUAUUAGGGAAGAAAAUAUGUAUAAGUAACUGUGAACAUCUUGACGGUACCUAAUCAGAAAGCCACGGCUAACUACGUG